GACGUAGGGAGCGAGCGUUGUCCGGAUUUAUUGGGCGUAAAGGGCCAGUAGGCGGCUUGGCAAGUCAGGUGUGAAACCUCCAGGCUCAACCUGGAGACGCCACUUGAUACUGCUAUGGCUUGAGUCCGGUAGGGGAGCAUGGAAUACCCGGUGUAGCGGUGAAAUGCGCAGAUAUCGGGUGGAACACCAGUGGCGAAGGCGGUGCUCUGGGCCCGAUACUGACGCUGAGGCGCGAAAGCGUGGGGAGCAAACAGG
rnacentral:rRNA from 1 species